rnacentral:tRNA from 1 species
CGCGGGGUGGAGGAGCGGUUCCUCAACAGGCUCAUAACCUGGAGUACGCGGGUUCGAAUCCCGCCCCCGCCA